rnacentral:rRNA from 1 species
CAGCCGCCGCGGGAAAACGAAGGGGGCUAGCGUUGUUCGGAUUUACUGGGCGUAAAGCGCACGUAGGCGGAUCGAUCAGUCAGGGGUGAAAUCCCAGAGCUCAACUCUGGAACUGCCUUUGAUACUGUCGAUCUGGAGUAUGGAAGAGGUAAGUGGAACUGCGAGUGUAGAGGUGAAAUUCGUAGAUAUUCGCAAGAACACCAGUGGCGAAGGCGGCUUACUGGCUCGAAACUGACGCUGAGGCGCGAAAGCGUGGGGAGCAAACAGGAUUAGAUACCCGGGUAGUCCCUGUCUCUUAUAC